rnacentral:rRNA from 1 species
UACGAAGGGGGCUAGCGUUGCUCGGAAUCACUGGGCGUAAAGCGCACGUAGGCGGCUUGUUAAGUCAGGGGUGAAAUCCUGGAGCUCAACUCCAGAACUGCCUUUGAUACUGGCGAGCUUGAGUUCGGGAGAGGGAUGCGGAAUUCCAGGUGUAGCGGUGAAAUGCGUAGAUAUCUGGAGGAACACCGGUGGCGAAGGCGGCAUCCUGGACCGAGAUUGACGGCUGAGGCGCGAAAGCCAGGGGAGCAAAGCGGG